rnacentral:rRNA from 1 species
AUGGAGGGAAGCAGCCGCCGCCCCGGCAGCGCGAGGGCGUCGCUCAAGGUGGUGCUGCUCCACGGCAGCCUCGACAUCUGGGUGCGCGACGCGGGGGGCCUCCCCGACAUGGGCGUGCUCUACAAGAAGUUCGGCGACCUCCUCGGCCGGCGCCUCGUCGGCUCCGUCGCCGACAUGGUGCCCAGCGCCUCGAUGACGAGCGACCCGUACGUCACCGUCCAGGUCUCCGCCGCCACCGUCGCCCGCACCUACGUCGUGCCCAACAGCGAGGACCCCGUGUGGGCGCAGAACUUCGUGGUGCCCGUCGGCCACGAGGCGGCCGAGGUCCAGUUCGCCGUCAAGGACAGCGACGUCUUCGGCAGCCAGUUCAUCGGCGCUGCGGCCAUCCCCGCCGAGCAGCUCCUCUGCGGGGACAAGAUCGAGGGCGCCUAUCCUCUGCUGGAUCCCAAUGGCAAGCCGUGCGCUCCGGGCGCAGUGCUGCGGCUCUCCAUACAGUACACCCCGGUGGCUCGCCUCACAGCGUACCACUGUGGUGUCACUGCUGGGCCGGACAGCCAUGGGGUGCCAAAUGCAUACUUUCCUCUGCGCCGUGGCAUGAAGGUGACCCUCUACCAGGAUGCACAUGUGCCCGAGGGCUGUCUCCCGGACAUCCGGCUUGACAAUGGGCUGCAAUACCAACAUGGGCAAUGUUGGCGCGACAUGUACACCGCCAUAAUCCAGGCGCGGCGGCUGAUUUACGUCGCCGGGUGGUCGGUGUUCCACACCAUCCGCCUCGUAAGGGACGGGGCCGAGGAGGUGCCGUCACUUGGGGACCUGUUGAAGAUGAAGUCACAGGAAGGAGUGAGGGUGUUGCUUCUUGUAUGGGACGAUCCAACAUCGGAUACUAUUAUCGGCAGAACGGAUGGAUAUAUGCGAACACGAGAUGAGGAGACACGUAGAUUCUUCAAGCACUCUCCGGUUCAAAUAUUGCUUUGCCCAAGAUCUGCUGGGAAACGUCACAGCUGGGUGAAACAGAAGGAAACAGGAACAACAUAUAGUCAUCAUCAGAAAACAGUUAUCGUGGAUGCUGAUGCUGGCGGUAAUAGGAGAAAAAUAAUUGCUUUUAUUGGAGGCCUUGAUUUAUGUGGUGGACGCUAUGAUCUACCUGGGCACCCUCUGUUUCGGACUCUUCAAACUUUGCACAAGGAGGAUUAUCACAAUCCAAACUUUGCUGCGGUUGAUGCUCGUGGCCCAAGGGAACCAUGGCAUGACUUGCAUUCGAAAAUCGACGGUCCAGCAGCUUAUGACGUUCUAAAGAAUUUUGAGGAGCGUUGGUUGAAGGCAUCGAAACACCAUGGUAUUAAGAAAUUCGGAAAAUCAUAUGAUGACGCACUUCUCAGUAUUGAAAGAAUACCUGAUAUCAUAGACAUUAACGACACAUUAUAUUUUAGCGACAACGAUCCUGAGGCAUGGCAUGUUCAGGUGUUUCGAUCUAUUGAUUCCAACUCUGCCAAGGGAUUUCCAAAGGAUCCACGAGAAGCAACCAGAAAGAAUCUUGUUUGUGGAAAGAAUGUACUAAUUGAUAUGAGCAUACACACAGCUUAUGUGAAUGCCAUCCGGGCAGCCCAACACUUUAUUUAUAUUGAGAAUCAGUACUUCAUAGGUUCUUCAUUCGAUUGGGAUUCAAACAAAGAUAUUGGGGCUAACAAUCUAGUACCGAUUGAAAUUGCUCUCAAAAUUGCAACCAAAAUUAAGGUGAACGAAAGGUUCUCUGCAUACAUAGUGCUUCCUAUGUGGCCUGAGGGUAAACCAACUGGUCACAUAGCACAAAGAAUUCUGUACUGGCAGAACAAAACAAUGCAAAUGAUGUACGAGAUAAUAUAUAGAGCCUUGAAAGAAGCAGGUUUGGAUGAUGUAUAUGAGCCUCAGGAUUAUUUGGUCUUCUUUUGUCUUGGCAAUCGUGAAGCUUCUGACAGUCCUAGCGCUUCAAGCACAGCAGAUAGUCCUCAGGAACAAGCUAGGGAAAAUAGGAGGUUCAUGGUGUAUGUACAUUCAAAGGGCAUGAUUGUGGACGAUGAAUAUGUGAUAAUUGGAUCAGCUAAUAUCAACCAGAGGUCCAUGGAAGGAACCAGAGACACUGAGAUUGCUAUGGGAGCGUAUCAACCACAGUACACCUGGGCAAAUAAAAUUUCUGCCCCCCGUGGACAGGUUUAUGGGUACAGAAUGUCGCUCUGGGCCGAGCAUAUUGGAGCUAUCGAGGACGACUUCAACCAUCCAGAGAGCAUACAGUGCAUGAGGCGGGUUCGACAUCUCGGGGAACAUAACUGGGAUCAGUUCGCUGCCAAUGAGGUGACUGAGAUGAGAGGCCACCUCUUGAAGUACCCUGCAAGUGUUAACCGUGAAGGCAAGGUGAAACCUUUGCCAGGAUGCGCGACAUUCCCAGACAUGGGCGGGAACAUUUGUGGCUCUGUCCCCUUUACACUCAUCCAUGAUAACCUCACAAUAUGA